UACAGAGGGUGCAAGCGUUAAUCGGAAUUACUGGGCGUAAAGCGUGCGUAGACGGUUAUGUAAGUCAGAUGUGAAAGCCCCGGGCUUAACCUGGGAAUGGCAUUUGAGACUGCAUAGCUAGGGUGCGGAAGAGGGAAGCGGAAUUUCCGGUGUAGCGGUGAAAUGCGUAGAUAUCGGAAGGAACACCAGUGGCGAAGGCGACUUCCUGGCCUGUUCUUGACGCUGAGGCGCGAAAGCUAGGGGAGCAAACGGG
rnacentral:rRNA from 1 species